rnacentral:lncRNA from 1 species
GUCACGCAGUACGACAGACUGUUUUUACAAGUGAAUUUAUUAAUUUGUCAAUACUAUACAUUAUUAUCUGGAUAAAGAGAUGCUUCAUAGUUAUAAAUAGUCCGUCUUUAUUGAUACUUCGUGAUUUGUUCUGUUACUUUUAAAUGUCGCUUGGUAAACGUGCACGUCAACCGUAUAGGUGCUAGGAGGUCUCAAACUUGCAGUGAGGUGACUGUUUAUUUGAUUCGUCUUGAAGGUCUCACUGGGACUUUUAGACGAAGGACCGUAAGAAAAGCGCUGUUAAACAGAAAAUAACAUGACUUACACUAACAGUUUGUUUUGUUCUCUAUCUGACAUUGUAUCAGUAUUGACUAGAAGGAUAAACAGUAAAAUGGGGGAAACAAGGGGAUUAUCCCAAGGGAAGAUAGAAAAAACCGUCCCAAAUCGACGAAAAAAACCAUGAUAAAAAGAAAAAAGGCACUAAAUAUGAGCACCACGAAACCAAACAAAACAGGAUGAACUCUGCUGCUCUAGAAGGAUCACCUAGAAACAUCCCACUUAUCGUGCACAUGCGAAGUCAUCAAUUAGCAAAUAAUCUAGAUGUCUUGAAGAGGAUUUUGUCUUUGACAAUCUUCUUGAACCAUGAUGCAGAUGUCUAAACAUUAAGGAG